AACGAACGCUGGCGGCAUGCCUAACACAUGCAAGUCGAACGAGACCUUCGGGUCUAGUGGCGCACGGGUGCGUACCGCGUGGGAACCUGCCCUUAGGUUCGGAAUAACUCCCCGAGAGGGGUGCUAAUACCGGAUAAUGUCUUCGGACCAAAGAUUUAUCGCCUUUGGAUGGGCCCGCGUUGGAUUAGCUAGUUGGUAGGGUAAAAGCCUACCAAGGCGACGAUCCAUGGCUGGUCUGAGAGGAGGAUCAGCCAGACUGGGACUGAGACACGGCCUAGACUCCUACGGGAGGGAGCAGUGGGGAAUAUUGUACAAGGGGCGAAAGCCUGAUCCAGCAAUGCCGGGUGAGUGAUGAAGGCCUUAGGGUUGCAAAGCUCUUUUACCCGGGAUGAUAAUGACAGUACCGGGAGAAUAAGCUCCGGCUAACUCCGUG
rnacentral:rRNA from 1 species